rnacentral:rRNA from 1 species
UACAGAGGGUGCAAGCGUUGUUCGGAAUUAUUGGCGUAAAGCGCGUGUAGGCGGCUUUGCAAGUCGGGUGUGAAAGCCCUCAGCUCAACUGAGGAAGUGCGCCCGAAACUGCAGAGCUUGAGUGCCGGAGAGGGUGGCGGAAUUCCCCAAGUAGAGGUGAAAUUCGUAGAUAUGGGGAGGAACACCGGUGGCGAAGGCGGCCACCUGGACGGUAACUGACGCUGAGACGCGAAAGCGUGGGGAGCAAACAGG